rnacentral:rRNA from 1 species
GAGGGAAACCGAGUCUUAACCGGGCGUUAAGUUGCAGGGUAUAGACCCGAAACCCGGUGAUCUAGCCAUGGGCAGGUUGAAGGUUGGGUAACACUAACUGGAGGACCGAACCGACUAAUGUUGAAAAAUUAGCGGAUGACCUGUGGCUGGGGGUGAAAGGCCAAUCAAACCGGGAGAUAGCUGGUUCUCCCCGAAAGCUAUUUAGGUAGCGCCUCGUGAAUUCAUCUCCGGGGGUAGAGCACUGUUUCGGCUAGGGGGCCAUCCCGGCUUACCAACCCGAUGCAAACUGCGAAUACCGGAGAAUGUUAUCACGGGAGACACACGGCGGGUGCUAACGUCCGUCGUGAAGAGGGAAACAACCCAGACCGCCAGCUAAGGUCCCAAAGUCAUGGUUAAGUGGGAAACGAUGUGGGAAGGCCCAGACAGCCAGGAUGUUGGCUUAGAAGCAGCCAUCAUUUAAAGAAAGCGUAAUAGCUCACUGGUCGAGUCGGCCUGCGCGGAAGAUGUAACGGGGCUAAACCAUGCACCGAAGCUGCGGCAGCGAACGUAUCACCCAAGACAACUUUACGGAGUUGACGAUUGACGGAGCGAAGCGACGUCAAAGCGUUCAUUAAAGUCGAGUUGGCUUAGGGAUACGUUCGUUGGGUAGGGGAGCGUUCUGUAAGCCUGUGAAGGUGUGUCGUGAGGCAUGCUGGAGGUAUCAGAAGUGCGAAUGCUGACAUAAGUAACGAUAAAGCGGGUGAAAAGCCCGCUCGCCGGAAGACCAAGGGUUCCUGUCCAACGUUAAUCGGGGCAGGGUGAGUCGACCCCUAAGGCGAGGCCGAAAGGCGUAGUCGAUGGGAAACGGGUUAAUAUUCCCGUACUUGGUGUUACUGCGAAGGGGGGACGGAGAAGGCUAUGUUGGCCGGGCGACGGUUGUCCCGGUUUAAGCGUGUAGGUGUGUGUUCCAGGUAAAUCCGGUUCACUUUAACACUGAGGCGUGACGACGAGGCACUACGGUGCUGAAGCAACAAAUGCCCUGCUUCCAGGAAAAGCCUCUAAGCAUCAGGUAACACGAAAUCGUACCCCAAACCGACACAGGUGGUCAGGUAGAGAAUACCAAGGCGCUUGAGAGAACUCGGGUGAAGGAACUAGGCAAAAUGGUGCCGUAACUUCGGGAGAAGGCACGCUGACACGUAGGUGAAGUGAUUUACUCAUGGAGCUGAAGUCAGUCGAAGAUACCAGCUGGCUGCAACUGUUUAUUAAAAACACAGCACUGUGCAAACACGAAAGUGGACGUAUACGGUGUGACGCCUGCCCGGUGCCGGAAGGUUAAUUGAUGGGGUCAGCG